CAUUUUACUAUUUGGCAGAAUAUUGCAAUGGAUUUAGAAUCGAUUCAAACCCUC
rnacentral:tRNA from 1 species